rnacentral:lncRNA from 1 species
CCAGAACGUAAUAAAUUUAUUCUAUAACCCAUGUAUUUGAGAAAAAAUCAUGAAAAACAAAGACAAUUCUGUUAUAUUAGACUUUAUUUGUUACAUUUCAAAAUAAAUUUAUACUGAAUUCUACACUUAGCUGUCCAUUUUUAGUCAACUCUCUGUAAAGGAUGCAACAUAGAAUAAAUUUAUUCUAAAUGCAUGGUGCUUUAUGUAUAUGAUCAUUUAUAAAAUAAAUUUAUUAUAUAGAGCCUUAAUAUCUAUUAUUAGUUCUAGAAAAUCAUAGAAUAC